CCUACGGGAGGCAGCAGUGAGGAAUAUUUGUCAAUGGACACAAGUCUGAACCAGCCAUGCCGCGUGCAGGAAGACGGCUCUAUGAGUUGUAAACUGCUUUUGUACGAGGGUAAACGCAGAUACGCGUAUCUUUCUGAAAGUAUCGUACCAAUCAGGAUCGGCUAACUCCGUGCCAGCAGCCGCAGUAAUACGGAGGAUUCAAGCGUUAUCCGGGUUUAUUGGGUGUAAAGAGUGCGUAGGCGGUCGGAUAAGUUAGAGGUGAAAUCCCGAGGCUCAACUUCGGAAGUGCCUCUGAUACUGUUCGGCUGGAGAGUAGUUGCGGUAGGCGGAAUGUAUGGUGUAGGGGUGAAAUGCUUAGAGAUCAUACAGAAGAACGAUUGCGAAGGCAGCCUACCAGGAUACUUCUGACGUUGAGGCACGAAAGCGUGGGGAGCAAACAGGAUUAGAUACCCUGGUAGUC
rnacentral:rRNA from 1 species